rnacentral:rRNA from 1 species
UGGGGAAUAUUGCACAAUGGGCGCAAGCCUGAUGCAGCCAUGCCGCGUGUGUGAAGAAGGCCUUCGGGUUGUAAAGCACUUUCAGCGAGGAGGAAGGCGGUGAGCUUAAUACGCUCAUCAAUUGACGUUACUCGCAGAAGAAGCACCGGCUAACUCCGUGCCAGCAGCCGCGGUAAUACGGAGGGUGCAAGCGUUAAUCGGAAUUACUGGGCGUAAAGCGCACGCAGGCGGUUUGUUAAGUCAGAUGUGAAAUCCCCGGGCUCAACCUGGGAACUGCAUUUGAAACUGGCAAGCUAGAGUCUCGUAGAGGGGGGUAGAAUUCCAGGUGUAGCGGUGAAAUGCGUAGAGAUCUGGAGGAAUACCGGUGGCGAAGGCGGCCCCCUGGACGAAGACUGACGCUCAGGUGCGAAAGCGUGGGGCAGCAAACAGGAUUAGAUACCCUGGUAGUCCAGCGCUGUAAACGAUGUCGACUUUGGAGGUUGUGCCCUUGAGGCGUGGCUUCCGGAGCUAACGNGUUAAAUCGACCGCCNGGGGAGUACGGCCGCAAGGUUAAAACUC